GGUAUCUAACUUGCGGCCCUGAUCGGGUCGAGGGACAGUGUCUGGUGGGUAGUUUAACUGGGGCGGUUGCCUCCUAAAGGGUAACGGAGGCGCCCAAAGGUUCCCUCAGCCUGGUUGGCAAUCAGGUGUUGAGUGUAAGUGCAUAAGGGAGCUUGACUGUGAGACUGACGGGUCGAGCAGGGACGAAAGUCGGGACUAGUGAUCCGGCACUUGCGUGUGGAAGCGGUGUCGCUCAACGGAUAAAAGGUACCCCGGGGAUAACAGGCUGAUCUUCCCCAAGAGUCCAUAUCGACGGGAUGGUUUGGCACCUCGAUGUCGGCUCGUCGCAUCCUGGGGCUGUAGCAGGUCCCAAGGGUUGGGCUGUUCGCCCAUUAAAGCGGUACGCGAGCUGGGUUUAGAACGUCGUGAGACAGUUCGGUCCCUAUCCGCCGUGCGCGUUGGAUACUUGAGAAGGGCUGUCCCUAGUACGAGAGGACCGGGACGGACGAACCUCUGGUGUGCCAGUUGUUCUGCCAAGGGCACGGC
rnacentral:rRNA from 1 species